AAAUGAAUAGACGGGGACCCGCACAAGCAGCGGAGCAUGUGGUUUAAUUCGAAGCAACGCGAAGAACCUUACCAGGGCUUGACAUCCCUCUGACCGGUUGGUAACGCGACCUUCCCUUCGGGGCAGAGGAGACAGGUGGUGCAUGGUUGUCGUCAGCUCGUGUCGUGAGAUGUUGGGUUAAGUCCCGCAACGAGCGCAACCCUUGUCAUUAGUUGCCAGCGGUUCGGCCGGGCACUCUAGUGAGACUGCCGGGGAUAACUCGGAGGAAGGUGGGGAUGACGUCAAAUCAUCAUGCCCCUUAUGUUCUGGGCUACACACGUGCUACAAUGGCUGGUACAAAGAGAAGCGAAAUCGUGAGGUGGAGCAAAUCUCCAAAACCAGUCCCAGUUCGGAUUGUAGGCUGCAACUCGCCUACAUGAAGUCGGAGUUGCUAGUAAUCGCGAAUCAGCAUGUCGCGGUGAAUGCGUUCCCGGGUCUUGUACACACCGCCCGU
rnacentral:rRNA from 1 species